UUAAAUUGAAGAGUUUGAUCAUGGCUCAGAUUGAACGCUGGCGGCAGGCCUAACACAUGCAAGUCGAACGGUAACAGGAAGCAGCUUGCUGUUUCGCUGACGAGUGGCGGACGGGUGAGUAAUGUCUGGGAAACUGCCUGAUGGAGGGGGAUAACUACUGGAAACGGUGGCUAAUACCGCAUAACGUCGCAAGACCAAAGAGGGGGACCUUCGGGCCUCUUG
rnacentral:rRNA from 1 species